GAAGAGGAACGAGUUGAUGAUCCUGUUGCUUUAUCAUUCUCCUCCUCUUCUGAAUUUUAGUAUAGCCUAUAUGUAGCCAUGAAUGUAUAACAUUAUUCAUGUAUUAUGCCAAGAUGGACCAAAUCUUAGGUUAGUCUUGCUAGGAGCCCCCCAGGCCUUUCUUGGCAACUGUACCAGUGAAUGGAUUAUAAUCACUAGAUGCUGACUAAUCGAUGACGGGGACUGCUGUACUGUAUUUGAUCAGUUUAUAGAAGUUGCAGUUUUGCUUGCUUUAUUGGCAUCUUCACUUUUUUAUAACAGCUGUGAUUUGUGAGAUGUGAAAGUUAAUUUUGUUGCAGAAAAAAAUGUUAUAAAAGUUUCUAACAGACUUUUAUAGCACUUUUAGUCGCUAAAAAAUACUGAUUCCUUUGGUGGCAUUUUAUUGUUAUACUGUACACUGUUCUUCUGUGUAAACAUGACAAAUUUUUAAUAAAUUUGUAUUUUUCAUAGCUAACAAACCUGAGGUCUUGAAAGUAGAUAAAUCUUGUAGUGCCAGCUGAAAACUUGGUUAAAAACAAUUAAAGGUUGUAAUGCAAGGAAUCAGGCAACUCGUGUAUUCAAGGUGGAGGAGUGAGGUCAUUGAUUACACUUGAAAUCCUGUGACUCAUUAGUCUUUCUCCCAACCCACGAUAUUAGAGGGUGGCUAGAGGUGGGCACUCUAACGUUAAGACCUCAGGUUUGUUAGCUAUGAAAAAUAUAAAUGGACUAGAAAUUUGUCAUUUGUUCAUAGGCAGAGCAAAACUUUGGUCACAGUAUGGCCACUGCACUCAUCUGUAUCUGACCAGAUCCAGUGUAUGAUGUGUAUAUUCUUCAACCCAGCCGUAGGUAUGACGAAAGGAAUAGAGAGAAAUAAAUCAGCCACCUCACUCAUUCUCUCUUUCACACAAUCAUCUUAGGAAAGAUACAAACUGUCCUGCCAGGGGCACUUCAUGAUCUGCACAACUUGUUGGGCAGCCACCACUA